rnacentral:rRNA from 1 species
GACGAACGCUGGCGGCGUGCUUAACACAUGCAAGUCGAACGGAAAGGCCCUGCUUUUGUGGGGUGCUCGAGUGGCGAACGGGUGAGUAACACGUGAGUAACCUGCCCUUGACUUUGGGAUAACUUCAGGAAACUGGGGCUAAUACCGGAUAGGAGCUCCUGCUGCAUGGUGGGGGUUGGAAAGUUUCGGCGGUUGGGGAUGGACUCGCGGCUUAUCAGCCUGUUGGUGGGGUAGUGGCUUACCAAGGCUUUGACGGGUAGCCGGCCUGAGAGGGUGACCGGCCACAUUGGGACUGAGAUACGGCCCAGACUCCUACGGGAGGCAGCAGUGGGGAAUAUUGCACAAUGGGCGGAAGCCUGAUGCAGCAACGCCGCGUGCGGGAUAACGGCCUUCGGGUUGUAAACCGCUUUCGCCUGUGACGAAGCGUGAGUGACGGUAAUGGGUAAAGAAGCACCGGCUAACUACGUG